UCCAAAAACCAGACCAAGACAGCCCCCACCUUAAGCUCCUACUUUGAUAGAAUCAGAACCUAUUUUGUAUCUCCUAUCACAGGGUGAGGCUGAAACCAACAUCGAGUCUAAAUAACAACAAAAGAACUACAAUAGAGAAAGCAAAGGUAACCAACUAUCAAACCCGAACUGCCGUCCAGUUAAGCUUGAUUAAGAACCACACAACGAUCGGGCAUCUGGAAAUGGAAGAGAAUAACGAUAAGCACCGGAAGGUCUAGAUGGAAGAUAAAUUGUAUUAGAAGAAAUACUAUCUAUACUCCCUCUGCCACCCUCGAUAAACACACUAUAUCAGUGACCACGUCAAAGGAUUGACUUGUGUGCAAUAACUUGACUAAGAUUAGCCCUACUUAAGCUCCUACUUUGAUAAAAUUAAAACUUAAUUUUUAUCUCAUGUCAUAGGGUGGGGCAGAAAACAAUAUCCACGUCUAUGUACAAACAAAAUUGUUGAAAUGACAAAAGAUAACCAAACAUCAAACCAGAAGUGUCUCCAGUUAAGAACCACCCAGAUCAGACAUACUGGAAAUUGAAGGUAUAUCUAUAAGACACGGAAAUUGGUAGAAGAGAAAAUUAAGUAGAAUAAAAACUAUUAUGUACUCCCUUUGCCACCCUCGAUUAACACAAUAUCAAUGACUCAUCAAAGAUCUGUCCGCGUACCAAAAACCAGACCAAGAUACCCCACAUUAAGCUCCUACAGUGAUGGAAUCAAAACCUAUUUUGUAUCUCCUGUCACAGGGUAGGCCCAAAACAAUAUCCAAGUCUAUAUAACAACAAAAGAUAUAUAAUAGAGAGAUCAAAUGCAACCAAUUAUGAACCCAGAACUGCCUUCCAGUUAAGCUUGAUUAAGAACCAAACAACGAUCAGGCAUCUGGAAAUCGAAGAGAAUAACAAUAAGCACGGGAAAGUCAAGAUGGAAGAUAAAUUAUAGCAGAAUUAAUAC
rnacentral:lncRNA from 1 species